CCCUUAGAUGUUCUGGGCCGCACACGCGCUACACUGAAGGAGGCAGCGUGUACUCCUGGAUCGAAAGAUUUGGGUAACCCGCGAAUCUCCUUCGUGCUAGGGAUUGAGGUUUGCAAUUAUCCUUCAUGAACGAGGAAUUCCCAGUAAGUGCGAGUCAUCAGCUCGUGCUGAUUACGUCCCUGCCCUUUGUACACACCGCCCGUCGCUCCUACCGAUUGAGUGCUCAGGUGAAUAAUUCGGACUGCAGCAAUGUUCGGAUCCCGAACGUUGCAGCGGAAAGUUUAGUGAACCUUAUCACUUAGAGGAAGGAGAAGUCGUANCA
rnacentral:rRNA from 1 species